GUGGGGAAUAUUGGACAAUGGGGGGAACCCUGAUCCAGCCAUGCCGCGUGUGUGAAGAAGGCCUUUUGGUUGUAAAGCACUUUAAGCGAGGAGGAGGCUACCGAGAUUAAUACUCUUGGAUAGUGGACGUUACUCGCAGAAUAAGCACCGGCUAACUCUGUGCCAGCAGCCGCGGUAAUACAGAGGGUGCAAGCGUUAAUCGGAUUUACUGGGCGUAAAGCGCGCGUAGGUGGCCAAUUAAGUCAAAUGUGAAAUCCCCGAGCUUAACUUGGGAAUUGCAUUCGAUACUGGUUGGCUAGAGGAUGGGAGAGGAUGGUAGAAUUCCAGGUGUAGCGGUGAAAUGCGUAGAGAUCUGGAGGAAUACCGAUGGCGAAGGCAGCCAUCUGGCCUAAUACUGACACUGAGGUGCGAAAGCAUGGGGAGCAAACAGGAUUAGAUACCCGGGUAGUCC
rnacentral:rRNA from 1 species